rnacentral:misc_RNA from 1 species
GAUGAAGAACGCAGCGAAAUGCGAUAAGUAAUGUGAAUUGCAGAAUUCAGUGAAUCAUCGAAUCUUUGAACGCACCUUGCGCCCUUUGGCUAUUCUGAAGGGCAUGCCUGUUUGAGUAUCGUGAACACCUCAACUCUCAUGGUCUGCCAUGAUGAGCUUGGACUUUGGGGGUCUUGCUGGCCUAUAGUCAGCUCCUCUUAAAUGAAUCAGCUUGCCAGUGUUUGGUGGCAUCACAGGUGUGAUAACUAUCUACGCUUGUGGUUUUCCAUCAAGUCACCUUCAGCGAUGGAGGUUCGCUGGGGCUCAUAAAGAAGGCCUCUCCUCGGUGAGGAUGGCUCCUUUGAACGUUUGAUCUCAAAUCAGGUAGGACUACCCGCUGAACUUAAGCAUAUCAAUAAGCGGAGGA